rnacentral:rRNA from 1 species
GACGAACGCUGGCGGCGUGCUUAACACAUGCAAGUCGAACGAAGAGCGAUGGAAGCUUGCUUCUAUCAAUCUUAGUGGCGAACGGGUGAGUAACGCGUAAUCAACCUGCCCUUCAGAGGGGGACAACAGUUGGAAACGACUGCUAAUACCGCAUACGAUCUAAUCUCGGCAUCGAGGAAAGAUGAAAGGUGGCCUCUAUUUAUAAGCUAUCACUGAAGGAGGGGAUUGCGUCUGAUUAGCUAGUUGGAGGGGUAACGGCCCACCAAGGCGAUGAUCAGUAGCCGGUCUGAGAGGAUGAACGGCCACAUUGGGACUGAGACACGGCCCAGACUCCUACGGGAGGCAGCAGUGGGGAAUCUUCCGCAAUGGACGAAAGUCUGACGGAGCAACGCCGCGUGAGUGAUGACGGCCUUCGGGUUGUAAAGCUCUGUUAAUCGGGACGAAAGGCCUUCUUGCGAAUAGU